GAUGAACGCUGGCGGCGUGCCUAAUACAUGCAAGUCGAGCGAACGGACGAGAAGCUUGCUUCUCUGAUGUUAGCGGCGGACGGGUGAGUAACACGUGGAUAACCUACCUAUAAGACUGGGAUAACUUCGGGAAACCGGAGCUAAUACCGGAUGAUAUUUUGAACCGCAUGGUUCAAGAGUGAAAGACGGUCUUGCUGUCACUUAUAGAUGGAUCCGCGCUGCAUUAGCUAGUUGGUAAGGUAACGGCUUACCAAGGCAACGAUGCAUAGCCGACCUGAGAGGGUGAUCGGCCACACUGGAACUGAGACACGGUCCAGACUCCUACGGGAGGCAGCAGUAGGGAAUCUUCCGCAAUGGGCGAAAGCCUGACGGAGCAACGCCGCGUGAGUGAUGAAGGUCUUCGGAUCGUAAAACUCUGUUAUUAGGGAAGAACAUAUGUGUAAGUAACUGUGCACAUCUUGACGGUACCUAAUCAGAAAGCCACGGCUAACUACGUG
rnacentral:rRNA from 1 species